GUGUAUACUUUUUAUGGAAAACUCAUUUCGUAGUCCAUUCCUGUCUGAAUAUGAUUUGUAGAGGUGGUGUUUUGUUCUUUAUUCUCUAUUGUAUACUUCUAAAUCUUUCUCAUCCUUUCUUUCCUUCUGGAUUAUGUGGAUUUUUUCCUCAACAAAUAGAUUCAUUGCUUCGUUGCAUUCUUGUUACUGCAUUGUAGCCUGUCGGUGUGUUUUAUCUGCUUUCUUCUUUAUUCUAUUGGAAUAUGAAGCCCUUUUUGUGCAAGUAUCAUGGGCAAUGUAAAUGAAAUCACACAUUCAUUCAUGUAAUCACAGUUGCAAAAAUUCAGCAUUAUUUCUAAACUGAAUUUAUUUCUAGAUUUUUUAGAAAAAGUAUUGAUUGGUGUCCAACACAAGCAUCUAAUAACCUGUUAGAGAAUGCAGAGUUGACAGGCUUCACUCACAAAUUGCUUGUUAUCUCGCUGGAUCAUGCAAUACACUUGUCGCAUUCAUCAAUUACAUAAUGCUUCCCUCUUAUUUCUCAUAUUAAGGUUAGGAUGAGGCAGAUUCCACAUCCUCCUAUUUAUUCUUCUCUUUCCUUCUUAUCCUGAGUUUUCUUAGUCCUAUGAAAAAUGUUAGAAUUGUUGGUUAUUUAUUAUUUAAUAGUUAGCCAAAUAUUAAUAAUUCAGUACCAUAUUCAUGUAGCCAUCCCUGAUUAGUUGGGAUAGUCAAUACCAUAUUUGUGCACCAAAUAUGUUUGAUUUGCUGAGAUAUUUCUCAUGAAUCCAAAUAUUCUUGGUUGUUGCGUAACACUGUAACUCGUUUUUAUACUUUGAUUUGCUGAGAUUUCGUCUCUGUCGAGCUCUGUCAAUGUGCAUGAGAAGGGUAAUUUGAUUCUGCAUACGACAUAUGAGGAGGGAGCGCAGAAUGCGGUGGCGGAGCACAGCCUCGCGCCUUCGGUAGCAGUGAAACGGAGAUUGGAAGUUGCAAUAUGAGAUAUGGUUGCAAUAGCAAAGAUAAUGAACGCAACAUUGGUCCUUCCUUCUCUUGAUCAUAAGUCCUUUUGGACAGAUCUGAGUGAUUUUAAGGACCCUUUUGAUUGGAAGCGCUUCAUAGAAGUCUUGAAAGAUGAUGUUGAGAUAGUGGAGUUCCUCUCACAUGCAUUUAAGUGUAAAAAUGCUACAUAUUGCAAAUGGCUAUGAUAUUCGAGUUUGGGGAUAUUUGGAUUACAGUCCAUCUACAGUAGGAGGCCCAUCAAAUGGAUAAUUUGGAUGGGAACUGAGACAUGAUUAAACUAGGUGAUUUGUGAGACUUUUUUCUAUUUGGUGUAUAUGGAUUGUUUGAUCUGAUAACAAAGAGUGGCCCAUAUCUUGAAGGCAAAAAUUUCCACUAAAAACAUCUCACUAUUGUAUUUUGAGGUUAUUUUUUCACUGUAUCCAUAUUCUCCUGACAUUCUUCACUAUUGUAUUUAGAGAAGAUAAAUUUCUUAUAUGCUUCUCGCUAACUCUGAGAUUUAUGGUUACAGAGUAGUGUAGAAUGUGGUUGUCCCAUUUGACAAUUGUAGAUGCAGCCAUUACGAACUUUAUGUAGGCCUUUGUACUGCUGCAUAUAUGGUCAUUAUUUAAUUUGUCUGUCAAAGCUUGAGUUCUGAGGUUGUGGUGGAAGGAAAUGUCAGGUUUCUUUUGGGAAAAAGUUCCAUUCAUUUUUUGGGAAAUGGUGGAAAAGGAAAUCAAUUUCCACACCUAUUUUUGCUUUUGCAAUCACAGGAAAACAUCACAUCUAUGGAAAUUGAUUUCAUUUCCACUGUUUUCUAGAGUUCUCGACCAAUCCAAACUGUUGGAAGGAAUAGAAAAACCAGCAUGGA